CGAACUGCUCAUGCGUCAUUUUUCAAAGGAAACGUAAACUGUCUGAAAAUUGGCCUGUAAAAAUUCCCUUUUUAUCUUAAAGUUUCACCUAAGAUAAACUAACCACGGGUUUUAUUUGUUUUGCGAGAGAAAUGAAAACAACCGUUUAGCAUUAACGUUUGAACACAAGGUGGCAGCACUGUGUUGGGAGAAAACGGCUCAAGUGGUGAAAAGCAACCAGGUUUGUGCGACGUUUCCGCCUCGGCCUCACCUGCUCCUGGCCCAGCUGGACCGCAGUCUGCUUGAUGAUGUUCUCCUUCUCCAGCAGCUCCUUCUGCUGACGCUCAAAGUCCUCUUUACCCUUCGGAUGGAAACAGGGUUCAUCGGCGGCACAUUGAGGAUCGUAGAGUGAUGAGGUCACCAACAGCCACAGAAACGGAGAAAACCCUGUCCUACACAGGUCCAAACAGAACUGGGUUUCUGGCCAGCCAGGAUCCUGUUGUUGCCUCGCGGGGAAAAUGUUUGCAGUUUUUUGCUACUGACAGUCAUGGGACACGAAAUGCAACUGGAUCCUUCGGGUUUACAAGUAUAAACUGUGACAGAAAUGGAAAGCUGAAUAUGUGAUGGAGUUUCUGGUGACGAAGCAAAGAGGAACAAGCUGCUGUUGGUAUUUACAGGCUCCUCAUUAGAAACAGUUUCCUCCGCAGUCAGCAGGUUGCUUCUGCGUUUGUGGGUCAGCAUCGUUUGAAGACUCACAGAACUGGACAUUGGUACCAGCCCCGCUCAGAAGUUGCUACCACAAGCUAAUUUUCCCAUGUUAAUAAAUCUCCCGCUCCGAGUCUGCACCUCCACCGGAAAAUAAAACAUCUGCAUUUUGCUGAAGCAUGAGAUUCCUCCGGUGUGUGAGGAGCAGGCUGCUGCUGCGACGCCGGAGGGGCUCGUUACAGGCUGUAAAUCCUGCACACAUGCCCUGUCAGCACACACGCAGCGGGACGCAAACACACUUACAACACAUGAUCAUAACUAACCCAGAAAUAACUUAAACAUACAGCCUGAACAAGUUCAGUAACUGUGUUGGUAAAGCAUGAAUCACGUCCUGCUGGGCUGAAGUUUCCUGGCAGAAAAGAAGCUGAAAGGUCUGAUGACAAAAACACCUGCUGACAAAAAUCAGAGCAGCUGCAUGUCAAUAAUCCAUCCGUUUCACUGCAUCGCGACCAAAACCUCCAGAUCUGGCUGAAAAUCUCUGAGCUGACCUGAGUUUUACCCUCUGUGACACUUUGAGUCGCGAUGAUGCAGCAGCUCAGCUAGUAA